UAGUGUGCUUGCACAUUAUUUUAGUGGCGAACGGGUGAGUAAUGCCUAGGAAUCUGCCCAUUAGCGGGGGAUAACGUGUGGAAACGCACGCUAAUACCGCAUACGCCCUACGGGGGAAAGCAGGGGACUCUUUUAGAGCCUUGCACUAAUGGAUGAGCCUAGGUCGGAUUAGCUAGUUGGUGGGGUAAAGGCCUACCAAGGCGACGAUCUGUAGCGGGUCUGAGAGGAUGAUCCGCCACACUGGAACUGAGACACGGUCCAGACUCCUACGGGAGGCAGCAGUGGGGAAUAUUGGACAAUGGGGGCAACCCUGAUCCAGCCAUGCCGCGUGUGUGAAGAAGGCCUUUUGGUUGUAAAGCACUUUAAGCGAGGAGGAGGCUACCUGUAUUAAUACUAUAGGCUAGAGGACGUUACUCGCAGAAUAAGCACCGGCUAACUCUGUGCCAGCAGCCGCGGUAAUACAGAGGGUGCGAGCGUUAAUCGGAAUUACUGGGCGUAAAGCGCGCGUAGGCGGUUUGUUAAGUCGGAUGUGAAAUCCCCGGGCUCAACCUGGGAAUUGCAUUCGAUACUGGCAAGCUAGAGUAUGGGAGAGGAAGGUAGAAUUCCAGGUGUAGCGGUGAAAUGCGUAGAGAUCUGGAGGAAUACCGAUGGCGAAGGCAGCCUUCUGGCCUAAUACUGACGCUGAGGUGCGAAAGCAUGGGGAGCAAACAGGAUUAGAUACCCUGGUAGUCCAUGCCGUAAACGAUGUCAACUAGCCGUUGGGGGAUUUGAUCCUUUAGUGGCGCAGCUAACGCGAUAAGUUGACCGCCUGGGGAGUACGGUCGCAAGACUAAAACUCAAAUGAAUUGACGGGGGCCCGCACAAGCGGUGGAGCAUGUGGUUUAAUUCGAUGUAACGCGAAGAACCUUACCUGGUCUUGACAUAGU
rnacentral:rRNA from 1 species